AUGGAGUUACAGCGUGAGGAUAACGAAAACACAUCUUCUAUGACAUACAGAAGAAUGAAGAAGAAAAAAAAUGCUAGUGCAGUGGAGAGGGUGCCAUGGAAAGGUUAUGACAGAGGCGAGACGCGUUGCCGGGAGUGCGACAACGGGGGCGUAUGCGUCGCCAAGAGUAAGACGAGGGAAGGCAGAGAUGGAGCGCAAUUGAGUGGGAGACGCGCAGCGGAGACGGAGGCGAGCUGGUUCGGUCUUGGAGGCAGAGAGAUGAAAAUCUGGUCGCGGCGAAAAUGGGUCAGAAAAAAUGGGUAG
rnacentral:lncRNA from 1 species